UUUAACUGAAGGGCACUGACUGGGUCACUGGUGAAGUUCCCCGCAGGAACUGAGUCAGACCCCAUCUCAGGGCCCUGCACAAGAUAGGUACCUGCUCUAAGGCGUGGACCCUCGCCACAGCCCUGGCCCGUCUUGACGGGCGAGGGUUACUGUACUUGUCCCAACCGUACAGAUGAGAAAGCUGAGACUCAGGGCCAGCAACCCGGGUCCCAGCGGAGCGCCCGGCACGCGCCAACACUUCAGCACCAGUCGCGGUGGCCACCACUGUGCGCGGAGAUGGCUGCGACGCGUGCGCAGGUAAAGUCCAUCCGUGCCUUGCCUCCCACCGGCGCCUUCCCCGGCCUCUGGUUUUUGUCCCCGCCAGCGGCUCCGACUCCAUCGCGUCCUCUUCCAGUCUAGUGCUUUUUUCCAGAUCUCGAUCCCAAACUCCCUCCUACCAGAAUCUGGACCCGAAUCCACCCAUUGUCCGUUUUCCGCUGCCGCUGGAGAGAAUCUCUGAGGUCCCCAGGAGAGCCUGCCUGCACGGAAGAGACGCCUCCUCGAUUAAAUGCUGUUUUCCAUGACCGUCUCUGUUCUUCCCAUACGCGAAUGGCAGGCAUUCAGAUCUCCAAGAAUAGAGGAUUAGGAGAGACUCCACCACCUAUGUCCUCACAGUUAAUUAUCGAUUUGUGUCAGUUGCCCAUUUUCUCACUUCCUGUUUGUGUGUCAAGGGGUAUUAAUAAAUCUUUGCCUAUUUAAAGAUAUUAGCCUUGGAUUUUCAAAUAUUGCAUAUUUUGACAUGUAAAAAUUUGUUAGUUUUAUUUUUUCAACCGAUCUGACCUGUAUAGUUGGGCUUGAGGAAGCUUCCUCAUUCUACAUGUUACUAUGGAUUUUCUAAUAUUAACACAGGGUUGUAUUUUUUCCAUAUAACUUUCUAUUGAAUUUCUUUUUCCAUAUGAUAGGUGGUGAAGGUUUAGCCCAGUAAAGCAGAGAGGUUAAGAGGUUAGAUUGGGGGCUCUGGAGCCAGACCUGUGUAGAUCUGAGUCCUGGCUCUGGCACUUGAAAGCCGUGUGACCUUGGUUAAGAUACUUAGUCCCUCUCUGCCAAAUGGAGAAAUAAGGGCACCUACCCCAUAGGGUAGUUGUGUGAUUACACAAGUUAAUACACUUCAAUCAGUAGCAAGAAAGUGAAUGUCAAGCUGUAUUUGUUCAGGCAGCCAUAUGGUAGCCCCACGUCCUUAGUAAACUGAGGUAUUGAAGUAUCUUCUUUUUCUUUCAGAAAAUAUUUGUCAAGCACCUUCUGUGUUCAAAGAACUGUUCUAGAGCUUUACAUGCUAUGGAGGUCUAGAAAUUCACAUUAUGGUGGCAGGUGACAGACAAUACAAAGAGAUAAAGCAAUUUUAUAUAGUGAUAAGCUAGGGAGGAGUGCUAAAAGGAGCCAAGGUGUAGUGGUGACUGGAAGGUGACCAGGGAAACCACUGUAGGGUUUCUAAGUGAUGAGAUCUGUGACAAAUCCCUGUGGUCAGCAGCAGGCAUUGGAUAUGUAACUUUAUUCUGUCCCAUUGAUCUUGUAGUCAACCCUGGUCUGUUCUGUAUUGUUUUAAUUACAUAAUCUUUGUAAUAAUC
ensembl:lncRNA FAM88B family with sequence similarity 88 member B